rnacentral:rRNA from 1 species
CGAAAGCCUGACGGAGCAAUACCGCGUGAGGGAUGAAAGCCUGUGGGUUGUAAACCUCUUUUCUCAAGGAAGAAGUUCUGACGGUACUUGAGGAAUAAGCAUCGGCUAACUCUGUGCCAGCAGCCGCGGUAAUACAGAGGAUGCAAGCGUUAUCCGGAAUCAUUGGGCGUAAAGAGUCCGUAGGUGGCUAAUCAAGUCCGAAGUUAAAGACAGAAGCUAAACUUCUGGAAAGCAGCGGAAACUGAAGAGCUAGAGUGUAGGAGAGGUAGAGGGAAUUCCCAGUGUAGCGGUGAAAUGCGUAGAGAUUGGGAAGAACACCAGUGGCGAAGGCGCUCUACUGGACUAAAACUGACACUGAGGGACGAAAGCUAGGGUAGCG